rnacentral:rRNA from 1 species
CUGGCUCAGAUUGAACGCUGGCGGCAUGCCUUACACAUGCAAGUCGAACGGCAGCACGGGAGCAAUCCUGGUGGCGAGUGGCGAACGGGUGAGUAAUAUAUCGGAACGUACCUUGGAGUGGGGGAUAACGUAGCGAAAGUUACGCUAAUACCGCAUAUUCUGUGCGCAGGAAAGCAGGGGAUCUUAGGACCUUGUGCUCUUUGAGCGGCCGAUAUCAGAUUAGCUAGUUGGUGAGGUAAAGGCUCACCAAGGCGACGAUCUGUAGCGGGUCUGAGAGGAUGAUCCGCCACACUGGAACUGAGACACGGUCCAGACUCCUACGGGAGGCAGCAGUGGGGAAUUUUGGACAAUGGGGGCAACCCUGAUCCAGCCAUGCCGCGUGAGUGAAGAAGGCCUUCGGGUUGUAAAGCUCUUUCGGCCGGGAAGAAAUCGCAUCGGUUAAUACCCGGUGUGGAUGACGGUACCGGAAUAAGAAGCACCGGCUAACUACGUGCCAGCAGCCGCGGUAAUACGUAGGGUGCGAGCGUUAAUCGGAAUUACUGGGCGUAAAGCGUGCGCAGGCGGUUUGUUAAGAUAGGCGUGAAAUCCCCGGGCUCAACCUGGGAACUGCGCUUAUGACUGGCAGGCUAGAGUACGGCAGAGGGGGGUGGAAUUCCACGUGUAACAGUGAAAUGCGUAGAGAUGUGGAGGAACACCAAUGGCGAAGGCAGCCCCCUGGGUCGAUACUGACGCUCAUGCACGAAAGCGUGGGUAGCAAACAGGAUUAGAUACCCUGGUAGUC